CCGAGACGGAGCGAGGGGUCCAAGGCCAGAGCGCAGUUGAUACAGGGCAGGGGAGCCCCCAAGCGGAGCAUAGUGUUUCUGGAACUGGUGGGUUCUUGGUCUCACUGACUUCAAGAAUGAAGCCACGGACCCUCGCGGUGAGCGUCCUAGUUCUUAAAGGCGGCGUGUCCGGAGUUUUUUCCUUCUGAUGCUCGGAUAUGUUCAGAGUUUCUUCCUUCUGGUGGGCUCCUGGUCUCGCUGGCUUCAGGGAUGAAGCUGCAGACCUUCAAGG
rnacentral:lncRNA from 1 species